rnacentral:rRNA from 1 species
AUUGAACGCUGGCGGCAUGCCUUACACAUGCAAGUCGAACGGUAACAGGUCUUCGGAUGCUGACGAGUGGCGAACGGGUGAGUAAUACAUCGGAACGUGCCUAGUAGUGGGGGAUAACUACUCGAAAGAGUGGCUAAUACCGCAUGAGAUCUACGGAUGAAAGCAGGGGAUCGCAAGACCUUGUGCUACUAGAGCGGCCGAUGGCAGAUUAGGUAGUUGGUGGGAUAAAAGCUUACCAAGCCGACGAUCUGUAGCUGGUCUGAGAGGACGAUCAGCCACACUGGGACUGAGACACGGCCCAGACUCCUACGGGAGGCAGCAGUGGGGAAUUUUGGACAAUGGGCGCAAGCCUGAUCCAGCAAUGCCGCGUGCAGGAUGAAGGCCUUCGGGUUGUAAACUGCUUUUGUACGGAGCGAAAAGGCUCUCUCUAAUACAGGGGGCUCAUGACGGUACCGUAAGAAUAAGCACCGGCUAACUACGUGCCAGCCGCCGCAGUAA